UACGAAGGGGGGCUAGCGUUGCUCGGAAUCACUGGGCGUAAAGGGUGCGUAGGCGGGUCUUUAAGUCAGGGGUGAAAUCCUGGAGCUCAACUCCAGAACUGCCUUUGAUACUGAAGAUCUUGAGUUCGGGAGAGGUGAGUGGAACUGCGAGUGUAGAGGUGAAAUUCGUAGAUAUUCGCAAGAACACCAGUGGCGAAGGCGGCUCACUGGCCCGAGUACUGACGCUGAGGCACGAAAGCGUGGGGAGCAAACAGGG
rnacentral:rRNA from 1 species